ACCUGGCUGGCUCAGUUGGAAAAGCAUGCAACUCUUGAUCUCAGGGUCAUGAGUUUGAGUCUCAUGUUGGGUG
rnacentral:tRNA from 1 species